UCCAAUCCUGGUUCAGGACUGCCAAAGCUCUGGCUCACAGGCUGUUGGCAGCUCGAGCUGCCAGAAAUGAGCAUUUUGCCUUCCCCUUCUGACACAGAGAGGCCUUCUGGGGAGAGUUUUGACAUGAUUAAACACUCGCCUUUCCUGAAAGUGCUCUUAGCUGUGUGCUUCUGAGAUGAUCUCCAGUUCCCCUGUGACCUCUAGGCAUUUGACACAGCUCCAGAGCAGUCACAGCCAACACCUCCGUGGCCCUUUGGACUGCUACGUUACCCAGAAGGAUCAGAGCACAAAGCACAUCCAUCCCCCAGUGCUCCCAUCCAGCUCAUUCCAUGAGAGCAGAAAAAUCAAAAGAUUUGUCUCAGAUAUUUGAGGAGAGACAGUGGGCUCCCCUCCCAAAAUGCACAAGACAUGCAAGAAGAUACAAAGCUCUUCUCAUCAGCCUUAUGCCAACAUUGGGUGAUCAGAUUCUUUUCCUCAGCUCUAAAGAUGUACAGUACCUCAAAAUGUGCUGGUUUGAUGGAAGAACUGUGAUUUUGUUUUUUUUUGUGAAUUUUCCCACACUCAAGGUAAUGGAAGAAAAGACAUCAAUAGAUACAAAAACAGCUGUGUAGCCUGAAUGUUCCAAUAAAUGGGGUGGGAUGGAAAAGCCUAGACCAGAAAACUUUGCACUCCAUUAAUUGGCCAGUUUGAGAUAACCCAAUCUAUACCCACCCCCAGACAUUGUGAAUCCAUCACAGCCAUAAACUACAGCAGCUCUCCUUUAUAUUUUUAGUAAAAAAGCAGCACCUUAGCUCUAAAAUUAUCUUGCUGAAACUCUUCUGUUUAGCAGAAUGAAUCAGUUCAGACUGGAGUUUUGCAAAGUUCUACUCCAAAACCAUGGAAUUAUUUUUAUAUAUAAUUAUAUUUUUGCAUGGAUUCAGCAUCAAACUUUGCUGCAACAUUAAUAAGCAUUAACACCUCAAGAGAAAACCUGCUGCUGUUCAGUGUGAAGAGGGAUUUCAUUAUGGAUAAUGAUCUCAGUGCUCAUAUUGAGACAGAAUCAGGUACCCAUUUGUAAGGAAGAGGCUCUGAAAAGGUUCAAAAUCAUCUCCGAAUCCUGCAUUCAGUACAGAGGCUUCUAGAGGGCAGUGGUUUAUUUCACUAUCAUUUCAAAACUGACAUUUCAAUUAAAAACAAAAGAUACCUCCAACCAGGACUGAGACUGCUCUGGAAAGUGGUAUUGUAGGAGAUACAAUGGACAGCAUGACAGAUUGUCCCAGACUGUGGGCUAUAUGGAUAAUGCAGCUGAUGAAAGGAGAAAUGUAGAAAUCCUCAGCCUUUGCUUUUCAAAAUGAAUCCUCCAUGCUAUCAAGUGUGGUGAAGAAAAACAGCACCAGGUAAGUCUGAUGUACCCAUUGUUGUUGAAUCACUACUGUCAUAGAACUAAAAUUACAUGAUUUUACUUCCAAAUCUGCAACAGAGUCAGUAAUGCCUAUUCCUGACUUAUUUUACCGGAGUUCAUCAUCUAAGUGCCUAUUUGGAUUAUUUCUGUUCCCUUCUUUGUAUGCUUCUUAUCAUAAAUUAAGUCUAAAUUAAUUAAGAUUUGAAGUAUGAACAGGCAAGCUAGGAUUAAAUCCCCCCCCAAACGAAAGACCAGCAUACAACACACUACUUUAAUCCUGAUUUAUGAAUUAUUAUUUACAGAAAGUGUUCAAAAUGGCAUGUACAACUCAUCCACAUCUCAGGCUAGGCUUCAAUUCCUCCCAGUAAAUAAGGCUCAAAGAAUGCACAGUUGCUGCUGAUUUCAUUGGACACUUCAGUGUUUCACACUGUUGUUUAGCAAACAAUUUGGCUGAAAGCUGGAAUUACUCUCUAUGUUCUGAAGUACAUUAUUUCUAAAAGUUGAAGUUUUCAGCAGCUCAGUUAGAAAUUACUCAUGACUCAGGCUACUCCCCAUGGGUUCACACACUGGCAUCAGUACCUGCAUGGCAGGUUAUGUGCCUGGAUCUGCACCAUGGAUUUCAGAGUCCUCUGCAGUGUAUGUACUGUUUGGCUUAAGAAAAGGGCCUUUAGAUUUUUGCUUCCUGAUAAACUCACACUUGAUCAGUGUGAAAUAGCAGGGCUUAACAUCCUUACACCCCUCUGUGGCAGCAAAGUUUAACCUCUGCAAUGGUGAUGCCUCUGGUCAAUGGCUGUGCUGCUCACCUGGGUUAAUGCAGCUGGCUGACCUUGAGCCUCACAGUGAACUGAAGAACUCUUCCAUUCUCCUUAAUAAAUUGCCUUCAUUCAUUUUUCAUUUCACCUUUUGGUACUUCUUCUGUGAUAAAGUUUCCACCAGGUUUGCCAGCUCGCUUGCCUUAGUGCAUCACCUUAAGCUCUUAUGAAAUGAACGGUGGGUUCUUUGUUCUUUUUUUUCCUUCCUAAGAACUUCAAAGUAAAAGUUCAACAUCUUGCAGUACCUGAAGUUGACUUGGUGAUACUCAUUUUAGGUUUUUUUUUGCUUGAGGACUCUUUUCACUGCAGAGCUAAUGCAAACAACCAGGAUGAACUGAAGUAAGUUAAGCACAGAUAUGACCUCCACUUUUACAUUUAGCAGAUUUUUUUCUGGUAACUGUCACAUUAACAGAUUUUUGCUGGUGACCAACAAACCCAGCUAAUUAGGACUUCCAAGAACAUGUCCCACAUACUUAAGCAAAAGAUGGUAGUGGUAAUUCUUAAAAAGGUGGUUGACUAAAGACCCAAAGUAAUUUUUUUGUGAAAUUCAGCACUGAACACAGUCUAAAUAACUGGGGUGCCUUGUUUCAGUCUGUCAGAACUGAGAAUAUUGGGUAGUCCAACUAGGAAGACAUAAGGGAUUUUUUGUCUCUUAGUGGCAGAUUUUCCAAAAAUUUUCCAUCUUUUGCCAAAAUCACAUAUUUUCACAGAGCAUGCAGCAAGUAUCACUUUUAUAAGAAAGGUGUGGACCCUUGACCACUGGCUGAAAUACCUGGGAGCAACCUCAUAGACCACCAAAAUGUCAAAGCCCAGUUUGUCUUUGCAGUCUCACUGCUCUGACCCUGGUGACAACUCUGAUGCAAUUCUGUAGAAAAUGGAUAGGUUUUCCUGUGAGACCUACACCAGUUGGAAAAGUUCUAAUGAAAUCUUUACUCAUUAUUAGCAACUUCUACCCAUUUCUAGUCAAGCAGCAAGUCAGAGUUGAUACCAGACUAAUUAAUAAAUAUAUAUAAAGGUACCUCAUGAUGUUGAGAUAAAACUAAAUUCCCCUGCAGAGGAUGGCAGCCAACAGAGGCUCUCCAGUUAAGUUUUGACUACAGGUUCAUGAAGAAAAUUGACCUUCAGAGAGGAAAAGCAGAGUUCAGAAGGAUGAAGCUGUGUGUGUUGUGAGGUUUGACUCCUGUCAGCUCUGCAUCUUCACUAGACAGAAGUCACUGUGAUGGAGUUUCUAUCAUCUCUGACCAUGCUAGGUCUCCUGACCAUAAGAAGAUGACUUUAGGCUACAGAAUUAUCAUACUAACAUGCUCUGCAAUUAUCUCAUAAGCCAGGAGAUAUCCAGCAAUUAAACAACAAAUUAAAAGGUAAUUUAUAGCCCUUUGUAGAUAACUAAGUAUAUAGAAUAAAACUGAAAGCAAGUUAGCCAGGUCAUCUAUCACUCUUCCAAGAUAUUGUAAACCUUACAAUAUCUUAAAAAAAUAAAGAAAAAAAUUAAAAUGCUGUGAUGAAAAUGAAGGGGAAUCCACACAUGCAAACUUCAUCGUGCAAAGCUUCAUAAAAUCAGAGGAGGACUCUGGAGCCACUGGAAGUAAUACAUGUGGGAAUAGUUUACUAUUGAUGGGGCUGAUAGUGCCACUGAUAUGUAAUGCUUCGUAAUUCUUUCCCUGUUUACGCCCUGUUUUUAAGUCAGUGUGGCUGGACUUUAAAAAGGGAGCUUUUCAACACUGGUGUCUUCUUUAUUCAUCCAAAGGACUUCAGAUACCCAAAGAUUUAUCUUGCAAUGCACUCAGCCACUGAAGUCACGGAUUCCCCCAGGCUACAUCUUAAAACAAAAGCUUGAAAGUGAACAAAAUUCAAGGAAAUGACCCAAUUUCCCCAGAAUCAACAGCAAGCUAAGAAUAGCCUCCUGAACUCCUCAAUGUCAGCUUAGUCAAACCAUUGUCAAAUGAAAAUACAUUUGUUUUCAAGUGUUCAGAACUCCAUCGUCAGGGGGUACACUCUCCUACAGGUGAUUAUGUGAAUAUAUAUACAAGAACAACAUUCUUGUACACAGUAUUCUACAGGCACACUUCCAAACACAUUCCACCAGCCCACCUGUCACGCUCUGCUUGGAAAAUCUGGCCUUCAGUCUGGUUUUUUUGUUGUUGUUGUUUUGUUUGUUUUUUUUAAAUAAAGUAUACUUGAUUACCAUCCCCAUGAGUCACCCAGUCCAGUCUUGACAAGUUAAUUGUUAAGUGGGGUCAGGCAGCAGAGCGUUCUUUGGUCACAUCCUUGCAGGGACUUGGAGAGCUCGGUCUCCUCCCUGGCUGGCAGGGGAGGAGGGAAUGCCAGGCUGGCUGAGCUGCCGGCCGGGUUUUUAUAGCGGGGCUAUUUUUAGCUGUUAUCAGCCGCGGGUGCGGGGCCAAUCCGCACAGAAACUGCUCCGGCCAAACUUCACUGGCAGCAAUCUCCCAGGGAGGAGCCGAGUGACUGAACCUGCUGCUCCCAACCGGGCUCCUGCAAGGCGCCAGCACACCCAGGACACGCGUUGGGACCAUGAGGAAAUUAUUGAUUCAACAGAUAAGCAUCCUGCCUGUAUUUGGUGAAAAUUAGUGAAUUUAAAGCGCCUCCUGAAGUCAAAUAAGUGAGGCAAUCAUUCAGUAUGAUAUACAUAUAAAUCAAUCUCUGGUGUUUUUACGAAGGUGGUGGUUUUUAUCACCGUGUAACUAUGUACUGUGUAACUGGAAACUACUUGCUGUGAUUAUUUACAAAUCCAUGUGCUCACCAAAGAAGGAUAGAUCGGUGCCUUUUCAAAACAGGCCACAUGGUGUAUAACAGAUUCUUGACACUGGACCCUUGUCCAGUAUAUUCUUUUAGU